CUCCACGUUGCAUGGCUGGUCAUAAUCCUGUCUGCAAUUCUUCAUGAGCAGCAACUUUCAGUGAGGUUGAAGAGUAAUGUAAAUAUCUAGAGUUUCAGAAGCCAGGGCUGUACUGUGGAACACAUUCCAUCUAGAUUAUCCCUGACUUGCAUUGAAGGAGAAUCAAUGACAGUUUUUUCAAGAAAAAACAAUUUCCCACAAUUUUUCAGAGACUUGCAGGAACUACUUUUGGAAAACAGCAAUCAAGGUAUUCAGUCUUCAUCCUCUUAUUUGCAGAGAUAGUUUCCUUACUAUGUCAUAUCUAUAUGAAAUUACUAUAUGGGGCUUUCACAAUUGUUCUGCUCCUGGAAAGGUCACACUGGGCUGGCUUGCAUAGCAUGAGGAACAAACUUCAAGGGAUUCACUGAAGGACUUUCACUUGAAAAAAUUUUGCAAGUAUUAUCACAUUGGGGAUGGCCUUCUCUAAGGAACAGGAUCUGAGGUUUUAAGGCGGGAGGUGCCAGGUAAGGUUGAUACUCUUAAUCUUUAUGGGUGGAAAAAUAGCUGCCUAGGUUAUCUGCCAGAGAAACUCUUGGAAAGGAGUUGUUAUGAUUGAUCAGCCACAGGAAAUGCUUCCUGCAGUGUUCUGGGGCAAAACUAUGAGAGAGGAAACGUCUGACUCUGACACUCUUAUGGCAUGGACCACACUGGAACAGCUGGGGCUUCUUAUUUUGCUGGCUGAACUGAUGCCUAAAGAGGCUGACCUGGAACAGAGGCUAGACAGAGUUAAAGGAACAAAGCAGGUAUUUGUUAAAAGACCUUUAAAGGAUGCACCUGGAGCAGUUCAAGAGCCCAGCCAUGGCUCCACCCAAGAUGGACCCAAGAUGGACCCAAGAUGGACAACUGGUCAUGAGUUUUCAAACGUUUUAAAGUUUUGGGCCAUUUACAUAUUGGGCUUAAUUGUCCAAUUCCUGCUUCAGGUUAUGAAGUCCCAUCCUCCCAGACUGCUCUCAUCAAUUUGCUGUUGUUUAUACCUUUUGGGCCUGAGGCUGCAAUGGUGUCCUUGGUUCCCAAGCUGGAAAAGGAUUGUUUGGUCUAACUGA
rnacentral:lncRNA from 1 species